rnacentral:rRNA from 1 species
ACGGGAGGCAGCAGUGGGGGAUAUUGCACAAUGGGGGAAACCCUGAUGCAGCGACGCCGCGUGAGUGAUGAAGUAUUUCGGUAUGUAAAGCUCUAUCAGCAGGAAAGAUAAUGACGGUACCUGACUAAGAAGCACCGGCUAAAUACGUGCCAGCAGCCGCGGUAAUACGUAUGGUGCAAGCGUUAUCCGGAUUUACUGGGUGUAAAGGGAGCGUAGACGGCAUGGCAAGCCAGAUGUGAAAGGUGGGGGCUCAACUCCCAAGCUGCAUUUGGAACUGUCAAGCUAGAGUGUCGGAGAGGUAAGUGGAAUUCCUAGUGUAGCGGUGAAAUGCGUAGAUAUUAGGAGGAACACCAGUGGCGAAGGCGGCUUACUGGACGAUAACUGACGUUGAGGCUCGAAAGCGUGGGGAGCAAACAGGAUUAGAUACCCUGGUA